AGUGAACGCUGGCGGUAGGCCUAACACAUGCAAGUCGAACGGCAGCACAGGAGAGCUUGCUCUCUGGGUGGCGAGUGGCGGACGGGUGAGGAAUACAUCGGAAUCUACUCUGUCGUGGGGGAUAACGUAGGGAAACUUACGCUAAUACCGCAUACGACCUACGGGUGAAAGCAGGGGAUCUUCGGACCUUGCGCGAUUGAAUGAGCCGAUGUCGGAUUAGCUAGUUGGCGGGGUAAAGGCCCACCAAGGCGACGAUCCGUAGCUGGUCUGAGAGGAUGAUCAGCCACACUGGAACUGAGACACGGCCCAGACUCCUACGGGAGGCAGCAGUGGGGAAUAUUGGACAAUGGGCGCAAGCCUGAUCCAGCCAUACCGCGUGGGUGAAGAAGGCCUUGGGGUUGUAAAGCCCUUUUGUUGGGAAAGAAAUCCAGCUGGCUAAUACCCGGUUGGGAUGACGGUACCCAAAGAAUAAGCACCGGCUAACUUCGUGCCAGCCGCCGCCGUAA
rnacentral:rRNA from 1 species